rnacentral:lncRNA from 1 species
AAAGAUUCCCGCUUCAAGAUAUAUGAGAAAUCAAGUCCUCAAAGAGUGGAAAAUAUUAACAACUUGCACUCAAGCCACCAAUGUGAGUUUCAAAUAUUCAUGGCGACCAGAAGCUACCAAACCACCAGAGACAGUGCCAUACAUCAAAAACUUCAAACAAUUACAAAACCAAAAUCAAUUCUCGCUUUGGGUCCCUGAGUUCAAUGCUUACAGUACUUUGGAAUAUUUUUGACAGCUAACCUAGAAUGAAAACACUUGCAAGUGCUCUUCGCGCAUGUAUAUGCAUAUGGUGCUGGGAUCAUAUCUGUGUGUAAAUACAAACAACCACUGACCAAGACAACUACGUACGUACGUACAUUAGAUAACAAAAACACUGCACCCAGAUGGUUCUCUACAUUAGAUAACAAAAACACUGCACCCAGAUGGUUCUCUUCGUUAUCAUUCAAUGGCAACCACCGGUACUACCAUUACAACAUAAACACACACAGUCCAACGUGCACAGAUUAUACUUUAUGCAAGUGCACUCA